AGUAUGGUCCAAGCCAUCGUAGAGAUAGGACUGUUUACUUGUUCGCAAAAUAACAACAAGCAGUAACAGGAAGUGGACUAGUUUGCGUCUUGUAAACUAGACUUACUGUUUGCAAAGUUUUAUCUCCGUCUACCUGGCGACUUUACCUGCACGAAAACUUAUUAAGAGAGCGAGCGUCUCAGCACACACAGGAGGAGGUGAGUACAGCAAUUCAUACCUGGAUGCGGAACACACCUGUCUGGGUCAUCGCCUUCAAUUCCUCUUACCUCAAUGAACCGCUCCUCCUCCUCCUGUGCUUCCCCGAUGCUUAGGAACUCCUCUUGCGUGAUUCUCUUUCUCUUCGUUUAUUGAAGGUUAAAGGUGAUGAGUGUAAAGAGUAACGAUGCACUAUUCUGUAACUUAACGAAUGAUUGAGUGGUCUCGUAUUGAACUCUUUGGGGCGUGUUGGUCUAGUUUUUUCUUCAUUUCGUCUUUUAUUACCUCUUCCCUCUGUGUUAUUCCUCCUUUCAUUCUCUUCAUUUUUAUCUUUCUAUUCCUUCGUCCUUUACCUCUCCUUCCUUUCAUCUUCUUUCUUUACCUGUUCCCUUUGUGUUUUUCCUUUCAUUUCCUGCUCUGCCAUUUUCUCACUCUUUUUAUUUUCCUCUCCUUUCUUGUUUCUUUCUUUCAUCUUCAUCGCCUUCCUUUACCUUUUCUCUGUGUUAUUCCUUCCCUUCCCUUCUCUUCUUUCUCUCCUUCAUCUCUUUCUUCUAUUCCUUCCCUUCCUUUCUCUUCUUUCCAUUCCUUCCCCCUUCACCUCUCCUUUCCUAUCCCGUCCCUUCCUUUCUUUUUCACAUUAUUUUCCUUCCCUUCCCUUCUCUGCUUUCCCUUCCUUCCCCCUUCACCUCUCCUCUCCUGUUCCUUUCUUCCUAACAUUAAUCUCUUUCCCUUCUCUUCCCCUUCUCUUCUUACCCUUCACCUCAGUCUCCCCUUCGUGGUUUUCCUCUUGUCUGUCCUUGAGUGGCCGAUGUUCUCUCUCCUUUCCCAUGUUUUCUUUUUUUACCUUUGUUCUCUUUUUGCACAUUAUUAUAUCCUUGUUAUAGUUUGUGUGUGUGGUUGGUUUUGCUUUGGUUUGUUAUGGUUUUGUAUAUUGCUUUAGUACUUAAUUAUGAGUAAGGUUACUUUAGAGAUAGAAACACUUAUUAUAUGUUGUAGAUGAGGAAAUAGCAGGAAGGAAGGAGUGAGAAAAGGAAGGAAAGGAAGGUAGGAAGGAAGGAAAUAUCACGAAGGAAGGAAGGAAAGGAGGAAGGGAAUGUCACGAAGGAAGGAGCUAACAGGAAGGAAGGAGGGAAAUAACAGGAAGGAAGGAAGGAAAUAACAGGAAGAAAGGAAGGAAAAACCAGGAAGGAAGGAAAUGACAAAAUAACAAUGAAAAUAACAACUCGCUGAAAAUGCCAAAAGAGUAUUCAGUUAAUGUUAAAAAGGCGCCUUGUUACUCCCCUCAUGAGAGAGUUUGUCACAGGAAGACGCAAAAUACAGACGA